UACGUAGGGUGCAAGCGUUGUCCGGAAUUAUUGGGCGUAAAGAGCUCGUAGGCGGCCUGUCGCGUCGGCUGUGAAAACUCAGGGCUCAACCCUGAGCCUGCAGUCGAUACGGGCAGGCUAGAGUCCGGCAGGGGAGACUGGAAUUCCUGGUGUAGCGGUGAAAUGCGCAGAUAUCAGGAGGAACACCGGUGGCGAAGGCGGGUCUCUGGGCCGGGACUGACGCUGAGGAGCGAAAGCGUGGGGAGCGAACAGG
rnacentral:rRNA from 1 species